UUUCUAUAUAUCAUCAGAAAAUUAACAUGGGAGACAGGAGGCACUUCUCAUACGGAGCUCCAGGUUAUGGAUAUCCUCCUCCGGCACAGUACUAUCCUCCUCCACCAGGAGCAGCUUAUCCGCCGCAAGGUUACCCUCCGCAGGGAUAUGGAUAUUCUCCAGUUGCCGGGUACCCGCCAUCUGGUUACAGUACCGGCCUGUAUGCUCCACCUCAUCAUUCAGGUUUGAAUCUGCAGAUAUAUUUUGAUUUGAAUGUUAAUUCGCGUUAUUGUUUAUUAAUUUCUGAAGCUGUUGACUUAUUUAUACAUUUAUGGUACGUUUUUAUAUUAGGAUAUGGUGGCGUAGGGGGACUGUUAGCCGGGGCUGCUUCUGCUUAUGGUACUCACCACAUGUCACACCAUGGGUACGGCGGGCACCAUCACGGCAAGUUCAAGCAUGGAAAGAACUACGGUGGCUUCAGGCAUGGAAAGCAUGGAGGAAAGAAGUGGAAGUAAACUUCUAAAUUUGUACCAAUUCAACCUAUCGCUACAAACGCUUCCCUAUUAAUUCCUCUUGGAUUGAAUAAUCCAUAUACAUUUAUAUGUGUAUGAUGGCUGUGUCUAUUAAGUGCCUUCUGGCAUAUGUUGUAUUUUUCUAAAUAAGAUCAUCCGGG
rnacentral:lncRNA from 1 species